UUUGGGAAGAGCUGCCGAUGUUUUUCGAUGUUUUUUUACAUCACUAGUACGAACGCGAACGCGAUUUUUGUGAUGGAUAAAAACAAAGUCCCGUAUAAAUUUAUGAAAACUGUGUAAAAAUGCAGCAAAUGAAUCAGAAAAUUAUUACUAAAUUCUGCAUUGAUUGAGAACUAACAAUUUGGAGUGCAUAAUUAGUGUAACAAAGCAAAAUUAUUUCGAAACGGGCAAACAAAAAGCAUUAAGCAGCAGUUGACAACAGGAAAAUUU